AGUGAACGCUGGCGGUAGGCCUAACACAUGCAAGUCGAACGGCAGCACAGUAAGAGCUUGCUCUUACGGGUGGCGAGUGGCGGACGGGUGAGGAAUACAUCGGAAUCUACUUUUUCGUGGGGGAUAACGUAGGGAAACUUACGCUAAUACCGCAUACGACCUACGGGUGAAAGCAGGGGAUCUUCGGACCUUGCGCGAUUGAAUGAGCCGAUGUCGGAUUAGCUAGUUGGCGGGGUAAAGGCCCACCAAGGCGACGAUCCGUAGCUGGUCUGAGAGGAUGAUCUGCCACACUGGAACUGAGACACGGUCCAGACUCCUACGGGAGGCAGCAGUGGGGAAUAUUGGACAAUGGGCGCAAGCCUGAACCAGCCAUACCGCGUGGGUGAAGAAGGCCUUCGGGUUGUAAAGCCCUUUUGUUGGGAAAGAAAAGCAGCAGGUUAAUACCCCGCUGUUCUGACGGUACCCAAAGAAUAAGCACCGGCUAACUUCGUG
rnacentral:rRNA from 1 species